UUUGAUUCUGUAGGUCUAGUAUGGGAUCAAAAAUUCUGCAUGUUUAAUGUAAACUCUCAGGUGAUGCUGAUGCUGGCUGUUCAUGGACCACAUUUUGAAUAGCAAUGGUCUAGACUGCAUAUGGGAAUUAUAUUAUGUCAGUUUCCAUGCUGCUGAUAAAGAUAUACUGGACAAGAUAUACUGGGCAAGACUGGGCAAUUUACAAAAGAAAGAGGUUUACAGUUCCACAUGGCUGGGGAGGCCUCACAGUCAUGGCGGAAGGCAAGGAGGAGCACGUCACAUCUUACAUGGAUGGCAGCGGGCAAAGCAAGAGCUUGUGGAGGGAAACUCCCCCUUAAGAAACCAUCAGCUCUCAUGAGGCUUAUUCACUAUCAAGAAUAAGGAUGGGAAAGACCUGCUCCCAUGAUUCAGUUGCGUCCCAACGGGUACCCUCCCAUGACAUGUGGGAAUUGUGGGAGCUACAACUCAAGAUGAGAUUUGGGUAGGGACACAGCCAAACCAUAUCAGGAAUGAAGCCAAAAGUCUUCAUAGGUGAGGAGAAUAUGAGCAUUGGAGAUCCUGUUAGGUUAAAGAGUACAGAAUAGGUGAGAUGAGAGUUGAAUAAAUAGAAGACUUGUGGACUAAGACUAAAAAUAAGAUUUAUGUCCCUUCAGCUCAGGAGUUUGAGACCAGCCCAGGCAACAUGCUGAAACCCCAUCUCUACAAAAAAUUAAUUUAGCAGGUCAUGGUGGUGUGCACCUGUAGUCCCAGCUAUUCCAGAGGCUGAGGCGGGAGGAUCACUUGAGCCCAGGAGGCAGAGGUUGCAUUGAGCUGAGAUCAUGCCACUGCACUCCAGCCUGGGUGACGGAGUGAGACCCUGUCUCAAAAAAAAUUUUAUGAAGUUGAACAAUUCUGAGUGAUGACAAGCCCAGACUCUAGUCCUGGGUGUGGUUGACUAAAAUGGAAUGGCAUUUAAAGUCCUGUGAGAAUCAUAGAUGGACGGAGAAGUACUAAGUUCUUCAGUGAAUAUGGAGGCACAGAUUGGGAAGCUGAGUAUAGGAGACAGUACUACUGAAGGGCCGUGAUGCCUGUUACGGACUUUUACAUGAGAACAUAAAUAGUUGUCUGAAAAGUGGCUCCUGGCCCAGAGAAUGCCUGUUCCUGUUGCCAGCCCUAUGGCAUAUAGAGUCCUGAAAGAAUAAGCAGCGUGCACUCUCUCGUGGGGAAAGUGAACACUUGAGAGGUUGAAUGUGCUUCUCACCAACUCCCUUGGGGACAUUUAAAGAUGUAAGGGGUAAUUUUUGGCACAACCUAAAAUACUGUUCUCUUCCUGUUCAGGGCUUACCUUUUUUUAAACAGGGUAUUCAGAGUUGUUAAUAGCUAGGGUUGUUAAGAAUUAUCCUCAGGCUCCUAAAGAAACUGGCAAGUUGAAUUCAGUUAUUUGGUAUCUGAGCCAGGUAACUGCAUCAAGUGGCCUGUGGCUUACAGCUUUUCUACCAGGGGAACAAUGGUGAAUUUAUAAUAAAAACAGAAGUGUCUCAGGCUGAGAAGAGGUAUGGAGAAAAGAGUAGACUCAUGAAUGAUUUCUGCACUCUCAAAGUAAUGGUUAAAGACCCUUUGCAUAGUGUAAACUUGUCUUGCCCAUGACAUCUGUGUAAAUGGAACUAGAACUAACUUUUGGAUUCUACUCAUUUUUAAAGAAUGUUGCAGAAGAAAAUACAAGGGUACUCUAUUCCUUAUAUGGAGUUGUUGAACACAGUGGUACUAUGAGGUCGGGGCAUUACACUGCCUAUGCCAAGGCAAGAACCGCAAAUAGUCAUCUCUCUAAUCUUGUUCUUCACGGUGAUAUUCCACAAGAUUUUGAAAUGGAAUCAAAAGGGCAGUGGUUUCACAUCAGCGACACACAUGUGCAAGCUGUGCCUACAACUAAAGUACUAAACUCACAAGCGUACCUCCUAUUUUAUGAGAGAAUACUGUAAUAAUAUCAAAAGCACUUUUUCUGGAAACACAUUUAUGGCUUUUAUAAUGGCUGAAAUAACGAUAAAAAAAGACUAAUUAAAAUCAUGUUCACUUAACAUUAAAUACAUGCCAGAAGAAAUCAUGUUUAUUUAAAUAUUGAAGGGAAAAAUACCUAAAAAUGUACAAAGGUUUUAUAUUGUCAUAGUGGUUUUUAUUCCUGCUUUGUUUCUGGAAAGGAAAUCCUGAAUUACUUAAGUACUUUGUGUUUAAUAUAUCUGGGUGAUGGAUCACAACACAUCAAUAAACUGACUUACCCUAAAA
rnacentral:lncRNA from 1 species